UUCGAAUGAGGCCACGCUCAUGGUCGUCGAUUACAUCAACAAAAAGGAAGGAGAGGACACGCACAUCUCUGUGCGUCAGGCAAAUGAAUCUUGGAGAAGUGAACAGACUUGUGGAAAUUCACAGCAGAAUGAGAGCUAGGCUAACUCUAAUUGGAGUGCUCCUAUGUCCUCUAGUAUACACUUGAAGAGAGAGGGAGACUCAGCUGCUACUCUUCACCUCUCUAGUGCAGUCAUCCUUUCUCCUGGCUGAAAUUAAUUUGUCCUUGGGUCAGUUAAUCAAUAAAUGUUUAUGGUACCUACUA